rnacentral:lncRNA from 10 species
GCGAAUCCCCUCAAACCUUUGAGAUGGAAAUAAUUCCCAUUUCACAGAUAUAAAGCAGGCUCCAAAACUCUUUGAAGUUCCUUUGCUAAUCAUGACUAGCCAAGCCUCUGGCGUUCAAACGCACAAAUUCCGGCCUCCAGUGCUGGGGUUCUCAGCCAUGGCUACAAUUUCUGUAUUGAAACUUCCACCUCCCCUCGCUGUUCUCUGUGACUUUUCCUCUUGGCUGCAUUGGUUUUGGCUGGUACUAUCCUUACUCUUUCAAGGUCACGGUCCCCUGAGGGUGAUAACCAGAACCUUAGGCUUCCUUUGUGUUCCCAGGCGGGGACUUAGCCACUGCCUCUGAUCAGAUUUUUCAGUUGUCUGAUGGGCAGCACCGAAUGAUUGCUUGUGCUCUCCAGAACCCAACUGCCUCAUCCCGCACAGGCCAGCGCUUUCCCUUGGCUGCCCAGUCACCCUGCCUGGGAAUCAUCUCUAAUGCUACUAUUUCUCUGCACACACACGCACACACACACACACAAACCUUCACUGGCUUCCCAUUGCCUCUCUUGAGUGUCAGCGCCUCGGUCGGUCAUUCAAGGCUCCGUGAUGUGACUUCAAGACUUUCAGGCUGUGUCUCCACACAUCUCCCCAUAUGCUUCCUCACCCCCUGGUAGUUCUUUAUAUAUCACCUUGAAAUGUCUCUCUUCUCAUCUCCUAUCUCCGCCUGAUGCAAUCCUUCUGUGCCUCAUGGCCCUUCCUGGUAGUUUUUUAUUUUGUUGUUGUUGUUGUUUUAUUUAAUUGAGGCAGGGGCUUGCCCUUUAGCCCAGGAGAAUGCAGUGGCAUGAUCACAGCUCACUGCUGCCUCGACCUCCGUCAGCCUCCCUAGCUCAACGAUCCUCUCACCUCAGCCUCCUGAGUAACUGGGACUACAGGCACAGCUCACUAUGCCCAGCUAAUUUUUGUAUUUUCUGUACACACAGGGUUUCAUCAUGUUGUCCAGGCUGGUCUUGAACUCCUGGGCUCAAGCAAUCAGCCCACCUCUGCCUCCCAAAGCGUUGAGAUUACAAGCGUGAGCCACCAUUCCUGGACCCUCGUAGUUUUUCUGGAGCCUCGUGAUUUGAUAUGAUCUUCCUGCCGCUGAUUCCUCACAGUGUUGGCUUGCCACACCUCCAGGGGCACUGAUCACAUUCUACCUGGCAUUAUUUCAUCUGAGUCCCUGUCCUAGCCCUUCUGCCCAUUAGACUGUAACCUUGUUUAGGGAAAGACCUGUGUCUUACUCAUCUGUGAUUUUGUUGUUGUUGUUGUUUUGAGACAGGGUCUUGCCCUGUUGCCCAGGCUGGAGAGCAGUGGUGCAAUCUUGGCUCACUGCAGCCUCAACCUGUUGGGGUCAAGCCAUCCUCCCACCUCAGCUUUCCAAGUAGCUGAGACUACAGGCCUGUGCCACCACACCCAGCUAGUUUUUUGUAUUUUUAGUAGAGAUGGGGUUUUGCCAUGUUGCCCAGGCUUCUCUUGAACUCCUGAGCUCAAGGGAUCUGCCUGCCUCGGCCUCCCAAAGUGCUGGGAUUACAGGCGUGAGCCACUGUGCCUGACCCACUCACCUGUCAUUGUAGUACUUAAGAUGCCUUGUUCAUUUAUUGUGCCUGUGCAAUAAAUACACCUUGAUUUGAGUUUACAAAGAUUCUCAGCAGUUGGUGGUCAUCCUCAUCUCCUGGGCGGGGGCCUCCUGGUGUGGCCAGUAUCUGAAUUAGUCUCAUAACUCAUGUUCACUUUUUAAAAUCGGAGCUUCCCAGACCUCAGUUUUGUUUUGUUAUUUUCCAUUAUCUGCAGCUGUCUCCUUUCCCCUCUCUCACCUAUACUCUACUGAUCAGUGACUGCUGGCUCCUUUGUUACCCAUCCUUCUCUUUCUCCACAUUUUUUCUCUUCUCAUCCCUUUCAGUUCUGGACUGUUUCCUUCUUCCUCCCUGUCUUUCAUUUAGUCAUUCAUUGAAUGUACUUACUAAGCACAUAUAGCAUAAUCAGGCUGUGUUGGGUAGGCAUCCCGAGUUCUAUGAGAUAAAGAAAGAAUGGGAUAUGAUUACCAAUUUUAAGAAGCAUCUAAAACAACCUGUUAUGUUUUAGCAAAUUGCCCCCAAAGGACCCAUUAGGGAGGAAAACGUUCAUGUCCUUUUUGCGUAUCAUCUCAAGCAGUACCCAUGAUGGCUGGGAUCCCAGAACCCACCUUUGAGAAUGCUGCCGUAUUUGCGUGUGGUUGACAAGGUUGGGCCAGACACUCAGGAAAUAGGGUUGUCGUCCUACCUCCCCCACUAACUUCCUGUAAGAACUUCAGCCCCUCUCAGGACCUUUUUCUUUACCAAUAAAAUUCAGAAAUUGGGCUCAAUCAGUAAUUCCCAAGUUAUUUUCCAAAGAACAUGAAUUUUGUGGAACUUUAAUAGAUAUCAUGCAAAAAAAAAUGUGGGAGGGAUUGUUCCAUGGUCAAAUGGUCUUGGAAAUAACUCGUUUAAACAAAAAUAAAACUGUUUCUUUACCCACAAC